UUAGAGGGUGAUUCUGGCUCAGGAUGAACGCUAGCUACAGGCUUAACACAUGCAAGUCGAGGGGCAGCAUUUCAGUUUGCUUGCAAACUGGAGAUGGCGACCGGCGCACGGGUGAGUAACACGUAUCCAACCUGCCGAUAACUCGGGGAUAGCCUUUCGAAAGAAAGAUUAAUACCCGAUGGCAUAAUUAGACCGCAUGGUCUUAUUAUUAAAGAAUUUCGGUUAUCGAUGGGGAUGCGUUCCAUUAGGCAGUUGGUGAGGUAACGGCUCACCAAACCUUCGAUGGAUAGGGGUUCUGAGAGGAAGGUCCCCCACAUUGGAGCUGAGACACGGUCCAAACUCCUACGGGAGGCAGCAGUGAGGAAUAUUGGUCAAUGGACGAGAGUCUGAACCAGCCAAGUAGCGUGAAGGAUGACUGCCCUAUGGGUUGUAAACUUCUUUUAUAUGGGAAUAAAGUUUUCCACGUGUGGAAUUUUGUAUGUACCAUAUGAAUAAGGAUCGGCUAACUCCGUGCCAGCAGCCGCGGUAAUACGGAGGAUCCGAGCGUUAUCCGGAUUUAUUGGGUUUAAAGGGAGCGUAGGUGGACAGUUAAGUCAGUUGUGAAAGUUUGCGGCUCAACCGUAAAAUUGCAGUUGAUACUGGCUGUCUUGAGUACAGUAGAGGUGGGCGGAAUUCGUGGUGUAGCGGUGAAAUGCUUAGAUAUCACGAAGAACUCCGAUUGCGAAGGCAGCUCACUGGACUGCAACUGACACUGAUGCUCGAAAGUGUGGGUAUCAAACAGGAUUAGAUACCCUGGUAGUCCACACAGUAAACG
rnacentral:rRNA from 1 species